rnacentral:rRNA from 1 species
CCCUUAGAUGUUCUGGGCCGCACGCGCGCUACACUGACGGAGGCAGCGAGCGUGUCCUUCGCCGGCAGGUGCGGGCAGUCUUGCGAGUCUCCGUCGUGCUGGGGAUAGAUGGUUGCAAUUGUCGAUCUUGAACGAGGAAUUCCUAGUAAGCGCGAGUCAUCAGCUCGCGCUGAUUACGUCCCUGCCCUUUGUACACACCGCCCGUCGCUACUACAGAGUGCCCGUGUCCAAGAAACGGUCGGACCUGUGCGGCCUCUCCGGGCGACCGGAGGGCCGUUACGGGGAAGACCCUUUAUUUGACGCGGGUCGAUGAAGUAAAAGUCGUAACA